UCAAAAGCGAUGAGAAAGACGAGUAACACGCCGCAUUCGUUAAGUGAGCUGGUGAUAGUGCGAGACCGGCCGACCCUGGACGUGCGAAAAACACUUUCUCGCAGUGCCGCUGACCCAAAUAGUCACCAGACUAAAGUAGGCUCAGCCGUCCCCGGUACGUUACCACACCGGUAGAACGUGAUUGCGUUCGAAAAAGCGGUCUAGGAAUCCCGUAUUCCUAGGCAACUUGGGUGGUACCGCGGAAUAAAGCCUUUCGUCCCUUCG
rnacentral:ncRNA from 1 species